rnacentral:rRNA from 1 species
UAGGGAAUAUUGGACAAUGGAGGAAACUCUGAUCCAGCCAUGCCGCGUGAAUGAUGAAGGCCUUCGGGUUGUAAAGUUCUUUAGUCCGGGAAGAUAAUGACGGUACCGGAAGAAUAAGCUCCGGCUAACUCUGUGCCAGCAGCCGCGGUAAUACAGAGGGAGCUAGCGUUGUUCGGAAUUACUGGGCGUAAAGCGCGCGCAGGCGGCCAUUUAAGUCAGAUGUGAAAGCCCGGGGCUUAACCUCGGAACUGCAUUUGAAACUGAGUGGCUAGAGUAUGGUAGGGGAGAGGGGAAUUCCUAGUGUAGCGGUGAAAUGCGUAGAGAUUAGGAGGAACACCAGUGGCGAAGGCGCCUCUCUGGGCCAUUACUGACGCUGAGGCGCGAAAGCGUGGGGAGCAAACAGG